UAUCUCUAUUCUAUCAAAAGAGAACGAAACUCAGUUCUCUUUCUUCCUCUCACAGCGGCACCUCAAGUCCUUCUCUAACUCAUUUCUCUUAGGGUUUGAUAAUCAUGUCUACUAGAAUACCGGAAUUUGAUUUUCUGUGCUACUAGAAAUAGAGGUGAAGGUGUUUAAUCAGGAAGUAGAAGAAGACAUGGGGUUGAAUCUGAACAAUCUUAGACCAGUGAAUCUCACAGUGUUGUUGACUAGAGAUUCGCAAGGAAUAUGAUACAAGAUUCGAAAGGGUCUUUGUCGAUUUUCAAAAAUGGAGAUUGAAGAAUAGUUCCUGCUGCAGAUGAUGAUAUUAUGGAGGUCGAUGACUUUGAGUCCCCUGAUUAAAGUUUAAAGCUCUUACUCCUGGCGGGGAAGAAUUUUUCACGCAGUGCAGUCCUGCCAUGCAGGUACUAUAAUUGGAAUGGCACAGGAUUUUGUUGGAAGCAACAAUAUUAACCUUGGAUGUGGAUUGACACUUCAACUAGAAUGAGCAAAUUUGAAUUGUCUGGUGCUAUUAGUUGAUUAUAUAUUGAUAUUGAAAGUAAGAAGGCUAACUGAGUUUCAAAUUUUGUCACAAAGGUUGGUGUAAAGGAGAAUACAACCAAAGGAGGAAUGCACUAUUUGGAGGUGAAAAGACUUCUGAUGUUGAGAUAUAGCCAAGCUAUUACCUUAUAUCUUCUUCUCAAGUCAGAGGGGCAUUCUGUUCGCGAGCAUCCCAUGUUAGAUCAUAUUGUUGAGAUGAAGAACUUAUUGGACAAGGGGGAGCAAAGACCAUGCAAGUGCUAGGUAUGUUUAUACCUGUCUAUCUCCAAUCACAUGGUUCCUAUUUCCGAAGGACGAUGAUAUUCUUCUAGACUACUUGAAUGAAGAUGGUCAGUCCAUUGAACCCACAUGGUAUGUGCCAAUUAUACCCACUGUUUUAAUUAAUGGAAGUGAAGGUAUUGGUACUGGAUGGAGCGCUUUCAUCCCCAAUUAUAAUCCACGUGAUAUUGUUGCGAAUGUAAAGUAAUUAAUUAAGGAUCCAUGUAUAAAGGGUUUAAAGGAACGAUGGAGAAAACAACAUCAAAGGAGGGUGGCUACACUGUUAUUGGAGUCAUUGAUGAAGUAAAUGAGACAACACUAAGGGUCUCUGAGCUUCCUGUUCGGAGAUGGACUCAGGACUACAAAGAGUUUCCUGAAUCAAUGAUGUCUAGAACUGAUAAAGUCAAGGAGCCCUUCAUCAAGGAUUAUAAGGAGCACAAUGAUGACACAACUGUACAUUUUGAAGUUGUACUGUCUGAGGAGAAUAUGGAUAGCCAAAUAGGAAGGGAUUUUGAAGAAAUUUAAGCUCUCAAACAGGCUUGGCACUAACAACAUGCAUCUUUUCGGUCCUGAUAGAGUAAUCAAGAAAUAUGACAACCCGGAACAAAUCAUCGAGGAUUUCUAUGAAAUAAAGCUAGAAUUGUACAAAAAGAGAAAGGUGAAUUCCUUCUCAAGGCCUUCUUUUUCCUUUCAUUUUCUUAUUCUGUUUAUUCAUGGUUGCUAUGUUGAACAUUUUUUGUUUCCGCCGUUACCUUAUGAUCAGAACUUGUUAUAUUUGGUGCUUGCAGCGUGGGACUCAGGUUUCGUAUCAGUUCUGUAUCAAUAUAUGUUCUUAAUUUUAUUAAAAAAAAGGCAUGUACUGUUUGAUAAGAGUCUGAGCCUUUUUGAUUAAUCUUAAGCAUUUGUAUUAUGAUGCGGACUGUGACAAAUUUUGAGCCGCUUCAUAAACUACAGGCACAUGAUGGUUACAUUGCGAAGUGUUUGCUUUCACCUGAAUUUGACGACCCCAAUAGAUAUAUAUGGCCACUGCAUCCUCAGACGGUACUGUGAAGAUAUGGAAUGUCGAUGAUUUCUCGUUGGAGAGAACGUCAUAAACGCUGGGUAUGGGAAUGCGUUUUUUCCGUUGAGGGUGCAUAUAUAAUCACAGCUUCAUCGGAUACAACAUCAAGACUCUGGGGUGUAGGAACUGGUGAAUCCAUACAAGUAUAUCAAGGGCAUCACAAAGCAAUAGUUUGUUGCGCCUUACACGAUGGAGCAGAACCUUCUGCAACUUAGAUCUCUCUUGGCCUUAAUUGGUAUGUCGGUCUGUUCCAUAUGCAUCAUGAAUAUAUUGAAAAGUGGGAGAGCCUGUUUGAGUGCUUACCUGUUGUAUUAUAAUUGUGGUGUUUCUCAACACAUUGAAUAAGUUACUACUGCUGAAGCAUGUAAGUAUUUUAUCUAAUGCGUAGCUGACAGCUAAGAAGAACCUCUUGCACCGUUGAAUAUGUUUAGUCUUUUCAAAGUAAAUAGUUUAUUGAGUCAUCUAAUUCUAUCUUUGAACCAUCUGCUUUAUUGAAUGAUUGUUCCAUUUCGCUUUCAUCUUGCUAUAACAAUUAACACAAGUCUUUAUCAACGUUGUUAUAAGACAAAAAACAUUAGUGUAUUUAUGUGUCCGUUUAUAUCAACCCAAUAGCUUUCAUUAUUAGACCAGACAAAGAAAACCCUGGGUCUAAUCAGUAACCAAAAUUUCUACACAGUUACAGGCUAACUUUUUACACAUUCGUUAAACCAUAUGUCUAUCAUAGAACUGAUAUUCUUCUUCAGUUCUCUAUUGGGGUUUCCCAUUCCCUGAUUACUCGAACCAUAGGGGGCAAUCUAACUCUUUUCUAAUAGCAGGGUAGCCAUUGGCGAUUCCCCAAACCACUAAACAUGACACGUAAAAUGUUGUUUUAGCUUAGGGAUGACAGUGAAAGAUGAUUUAUGUCCCUUCUUCUUAAAUAUUGCUCUAUUUAAGUGUUAUAUGCAUGCGUAACAAACUAAUCUGCCUAAAUUUAGGAUUCAUCCGGUGUAUAGUUCAGCAGCAUGCGGAUCCAAACCAGUGGCAUGCUGCAAUAUGUACAGAUAACAAUGGAGGUGAUGAAGCCUUAGGUGUUGUAUCUUUAUAAUACCUAUCUAUUAGUAGAGUUUGAUGAUAUUGAUACAUCGCCUUUCUUGUUUGUUUUUUUUUUUUUUGGUCGGUGAGAGGGGGAGAAUUCUGUGAAGGCACAAGUUUUCAAUUAGGUUCAAAGGUCUUGUAGCUGAUGGCAGUAGUUUACUACCUUCGGGACAAGCAGGGAGAUAAGUCUUGUUGGAAUCUUGUGCGUGCUCAGGGCUGUGUUAUACUUGAUAGAGAUGGGUUCACAACAAAGAAACAAACACGUCUCUCUGAUAUUUGUGAGGCGGUUCCAAUGAAGAAAGUUGAUUUGGCAGCUCAUUGUAGGGUAUUCAGACUUGCACUUGUCUUUAAGAAACAUGUGAACCUAUCAUAUAAGACUCUUAUGGAGCAAAUACAAGAUUUUUUUUCUUUUUUUUCCUUUCUGAUUUUGAAGUUAAGGGCAGGUUUCAUUUCAUUGAAAUUUUGCAAUUUGAACCUGUAUGUAUUGUACAAUGAAUACUGGUUCUAAAUAAAUUGACAUUUGAAUUCAGGUUUCA